GGGCGCGGCGCCUGCGCCUUUGGACUGGCUCCUCCACGCCCAUGAAUCACAACAGCUUCCUGAAGUGUCGCCGCUGCCCUGUCUCUAGCCCUGGAAAGGCAGUUUAGAGUAAGAAUGGAACGACAUAAAACCUGGCCUGAGGUGGAUCUCUGCGAGUUGAAGGCCAGCCUGGUCUACAGAGUCAGUUCCAGGGCAGCCAGGGCUACACAGAGAAACCCUGUCUGGAAAAGGGAAACAAACAAAACCCCAGCCUGUUGGCACCCAUCAUCUCAGCAUUUGAAAGCUGCAGGUAAAAGAUUUACAUGGAUGAGCAACUGCCUAUGACAGUGUCUCCAGAAAGGUUUAACAGAGGAGAGAAGAUCCACCCUGAAUGGGUGGCAUCAUCCCACAGGCCGGGGUCACAAGCUGAAUAAGCAGAAAGCGAGGAGCCCCAGCAACCAGCUCGGCUUCCUGACUGCGCCUCACUGUUGAGCAGCCGCCUCCCUCCUGCUGCCAAGCCUCCACCACCACCAUGGAUUACACCUUCAAACCGAACCAGAAAGAAACCCUCCCUCCCUUCCUUCCUUCAGCUGGUUUCAUCAUGGCAAGCAGAAAAGUCAUUAACACAGGUCCAGCAGGAACUGUCCACACCAAGGUCUGGGCAAACUCCAGCAGGCAGAACACAGCCUGUUGGUGUAAUGAGGGCUUUCUCCGACUGCAGCUGCAGUUCGUCCCUUUCACUCUGUCCACUCUGUCCUACUUCUGUCCUCUUCGGCAGACCCAACAGUUAUAACCGUUUCUGUAUGAGCCACAAAGCUUAAAAAUAUUCAGCUGGCUCUUUACAGAAAAAUUUGUCAGCCUUUUGUCUACAACAUUAUUUAACUUAGGCUGGGCAAGGGUGGGGGGACACAUGUAACCCCAACUACCUGGGAGGCAGAAAUGGGAGGAUCAUAAGCUUGAUGUCAGCCUGGGGAACUUAAUGAGACCAUCUGGAGAUAAAACUUAAAAGGGGGCUGAGGACUGUGCUCAGUGGAGAGUGUUCGCCUAACAUGUAGGAAGCCAAAACAUUAUCUGAUUUAACCUGGCAGGCAUCCUCCUGGCUACAUGGUUGUUGGUAAAUCAGUGGUGGGGUUUCCCAUCCACUAGGUGCAGUAGGUAUACUGGUAAUAAAGCAUGCAUGCUUCUCCUCCACAGAAUACCAGAGAGACCGACAGCUCCCCCAGGAUGCAAUGCUCAGGAGUGACUCAGCUGUUAGGUUCCUGCACCUGCUGGCA